rnacentral:lncRNA from 1 species
AAAAUGGCAUCACCUUCUCCCUCUUCUUUCCUUUCCCUUCUACUUCUCUUUUUCUUCCUCGCUCAUAUCCUCUUUUCUUCUGGUUCUUUUCAUUCUCCUUUUCAUAUUUUCAUCUUUUUAGUACUUUUACCUCAUUAUAUUAUAUUCAUAUUCAUCUACCCUUUUUUCUCAAUAUAGAUUAUAACUAUUGCUGCUGGAGAGUUGGGCGAUGCCGUUAUGUUUCCGGUAAGCUGUCGGUCUCUCGAGCUCUUCACAUGAGCCGGAAGGUAAGAUCUCAGGCUAGAGAAAGAUGUUGAAAUUUUCAUAUUAGGUAUAGAAUUAAGUUUAUAGCUUCUUCUUAUUGUAAAAAUAAACUACGCUCUUUCGAGGAACUAUUGUCAAUCUUAUUUUGUCGAUCCUAAAAUUGGAAAUCUUUCUGUGAAUAUUUUCGAGUAUAUGUUUCUUUUCUCACUAUUCUAUAUACUUUAGGGAAUGCUUGUUCUACUUUAUGAGAACUUGUCUUUUGUAUUUUUGUAUUAUCAAUACUUUUUAUCUUCACACUAGUUUUUUCAAUUUAAAAUUAUUAUUUAAUGUGUGGAUCUCACAAUAUUCUUGUAAGAUAUCGACCUGACAAGUACUAAUUGAAAUAGUACCAUGCAACAUAUAUAUAUAUGAAAAAAAAUCACAUUUAUCCGUCCUCUCACUCAUCACUCAAAAAAUAAAAUAAAAAUAUUUUAAAGAAAUAGUAAGAAAAAUUUAUGUAUGACAAAUUAUUAUUAGUCCAGGAAACGAGUGGUGUGGAUAGUGUCAGAAGAUAGAUUGUUUAUUGUUUUUGAACGUUAGUUUCUUAGUUACAGAUGCUUGUAGAGAUGAAGAAGGAGAUGGAAGAGGGAGAAAAGGGCGGGAAGAGGUGGGGGACGGUGGCGGAGUGGGAGCAGUUGCGGAGGGUGCCGUCGGGACCUGACCCAUUGCACCAUAAUGGCGGAAGCCCAAAGAAGCCUAGAACUCCUUGAACUAGAAAUCCACGAGGAGGAAGAUUUUGAAAGUAGGGGUUUUUGGCCGAUCCCAUCAACAAAACUAAAACCCACAGUUCUCCUUCUUUUUUUUUUUUUUUUGGGUUUUUUUUUUAAAUUAUUAUUUAGUCUUUUAGUCUUUUUUCUUUUUUAUGAAUUUUGAAUUUUUAUAUCAUAUGAAUGCAUGAUUAUGUUCCCUGUUCAUAUAUGUUAAAUGAAAAUUGUAGGCCUGAACCUUUGUGGUCAAAUAUCUUUAAUUAGUGUUCUCC